rnacentral:ncRNA from 1 species
UGAAUAUGUGUAAAAAUAGGUGCGGAUUAAUACUGAUGUAUUGGUCUGCUUAAAAGGGAAGUUCGGUGAGAAUCCGACGCUGUCCCGCAACUGUAAAUGGGAGCGAUUUCGUUUAAACCACUGCUUUUUAUAAAAAAGUGGGAAGGUACGAAUAGCAAUGAUCAUUAGCCAGGAGACCUGCCUCUUUUUAUAACACAUG